GGGUUGUGAGGUUAAGCGACUAAGCGUACACGGUGGAUGCCCUGGCAGUCAGAGGCGAUGAAGGACGUGCUAAUCUGCGAUAAGCGUCGGUAAGGUGAUAUGAACCGUUAUAACCGGCGAUUUCCGAAUGGGGAAACCCAGUGUGAUUCGUCACACUAUCAUUAACUGAAUCCAUAGGUUAAUGAGGCGAACCGGGGGAACUGAAACAUCUAAGUACCCCGAGGAAAAGAAAUCAACCGAGAUUCCCCCAGUAGCGGCGAGCGAACGGGGAGCAGCCCAGAGCCUGAAUCAGUGUGUGUGUUAGUGGAAGCGUCUGGAAAGGCGCGCGAUACAGGGUGACAGCCCCGUACACAAAAAUGCACAUGCUGUGAGCUCGAUGAGUAGGGCGGGACACGUGGUAUCCUGUCUGAAUAUGGGGGGACCAUCCUCCAAGGCUAAAUACUCCUGACUGACCGAUAGUGAACCAGUACCGUGAGGGAAAGGCGAAAAGAACCCCGGCGAGGGGAGUGAAAAAGAACCUGAAACCGUGUACGUACAAGCAGUGGGAGCACGCUUAGGCGUGUGACUGCGUACCUUUUGUAUAAUGGGUCAGCGACUUAUAUUCUGUAGCAAGGUUAACCGAAUAGGGGAGCCGAAGGGAAACCGAGUCUUAACUGGGCGUUAAGUUGCAGGGUAUAGACCCGAAACCCGGUGAUCUAGCCAUGGGCAGGUUGAAGGUUGGGUAACACUAACUGGAGGACCGAACCGACUAAUGUUGAAAAAUUAGCGGAUGACUUGUGGCUGGGGGUGAAAGGCCAAUCAAACCGGGAGAUAGCUGGUUCUCCCCGAAAGCUAUUUAGGUAGCGCCUCGUGAAUUCAUCUCCGGGGGUAGAGCACUGUUUCGGCAAGGGGGUCAUCCCGACUUACCAACCCGAUGCAAACUGCGAAUACCGGAGAAUGUUAUCACGGGAGACACACGGCGGGUGCUAACGUCCGUCGUGAAGAGGGAAACAACCCAGACCGCCAGCUAAGGUCCCAAAGUCAUGGUUAAGUGGGAAACGAUGUGGGAAGGCCCAGACAGCCAGGAUGUUGGCUUAGAAGCAGCCAUCAUUUAAAGAAAGCGUAAUAGCUCACUGGUCGAGUCGGCCUGCGCGGAAGAUGUAACGGGGCUAAACCAUGCACCGA
rnacentral:rRNA from 1 species